GAUGAACGCUGGCGGCGUGCCUAAUACAUGCAAGUCGAGCGAACAGACGAGGAGCUUGCUCCUCUGACGUUAGCGGCGGACGGGUGAGUAACACGUGGAUAACCUACCUAUAAGACUGGGAUAACUUCGGGAAACCGGAGCUAAUACCGGAUAAUAUAUUGAACCGCAUGGUUCAAUAGUGAAAGACGGUUUUGCUGUCACUUAUAGAUGGAUCCGCGCCGGAUUAGCUAGUUGGUAAGGUAACGGCUUACCAAGGCAACGAUGCGUAGCCGACCUGAGAGGAUGAUCAGCCACACUGGAACUGAGACACGGUCCAGACUCCUACGGGAGGCAGCAGUAGGGAAUCUUCCGCAAUGGGCGAAAGCUUGACGGAGCAACGCCGCGUGAGUGAUGAAGGUCUUCGGAUCGUAAAACUCUGUUAUUAGGGAAGAACAGAUGUGUAAGUAACUAUGCACGUCUUGACGGUACCUAAUCAGAAAGCCACGGCUAACUACGUG
rnacentral:rRNA from 1 species